rnacentral:rRNA from 1 species
GACGAACGCUGGCGGCGUGCUUAACACAUGCAAGUCGAACGGAAAGGCCCUGCUUUUGUGGGGUGCUCGAGUGGCGAACGGGUGAGUAACACGUGAGUAACCUGCCCUUGACUUUGGGAUAACUUCAGGAAACUGGGGCUAAUACCGGAUAGGAGCUCCUGCUGCAUGGUGGGGGUUGGAAAGUUUCGGCGGUUGGGGAUGGACUCGCGGCUUAUCAGCUUGUUGGUGGGGUAGUGGCUUACCAAGGCUUUGACGGGUAGCCGGCCUGAGAGGGUGACCGGCCACAUUGGGACUGAGAUACGGCCCAGACUCCUACGGGAGGCAGCAGUGGGGAAUAUUGCACAAUGGGCGGGAGCCUGAUGCAGCAACGCCGCGUGCGGGAUGACGGCCUUUGGGUUGUAAACCGCUUUCGCCUGUGACGAAGCGUGAGUGACGGUAAUGGGUAAAGAAGCACCGGCUAACUACGUG